GAUGAAGAACGUAGCGAAAUGCGAUAAGUAAUGUGAAUUGCAGAAUUCAGUGAAUCAUCGAAUCUUUGAACGCACAUUGCGCCCAUUAGCAUUCUAGUGGGCAUGCCUGUUCGAGCGUCAUUUCAACCCUUAAGCCCUGUUGCUUAGCGUUGGGAGCCUACAGUACUGUAGCUCCCCAAAGUUAGUGGCGGAGUCGGUUUCACACUCUAGACGUAGUAAUUUUUUCUCGUCUGUAGUUGAGCCGGUCCCCUGCCGUAAAACACCCAAUUUAUCAAGGUUGACCUCGGAUCAGGUAGGAAUACCCGCUGAACUUAAGCAUAUCAAUAAGCGGAGGG
rnacentral:misc_RNA from 1 species